rnacentral:rRNA from 1 species
UACGGGGGGAGCAAGCGUUGUUCGGAAUUACUGGGCGUAAAGGGCGCGUAGGCGGUCUUCUAAGUCUUGUGUGAAAUCCCUCGGCUCAACUGAGGAACUGCACGGGAUACUGGAAGACUUGAGUUCGGGAGAGGGAAGCGGAAUUCCGGGUGUAGCGGUGAAAUGCGUAGAUAUCUGGAGGAAUACCGGUGGCGAAGGCGGCAUCCUGGACCGGCAUUGACGCUGAGGAGCGAAAGCCAGGGGAGCAAACGGG